ACGAACGCUGACGGUGUGCUUUAGACAUGCAAGUCGAACGAGAAAGCCCUUCGGGUUAGUAAAGUGGCGAACGGGUGAGUAACACGUGGGCAAUCUGCCCCUCGCAGGGGGACAACCGGAGGAAACCCCGGCUAAUACCCCGUAAGUUCAAAGGGAGGCAUCUCCCCUUGAAGAAAGGUAGCUUCGCCAUCCGGCGAGGGAUGAGCCCGCGGUGCAUUAGCUAGUUGGGUGGGGUAACGGCCCACCAAGGCGACGAUGCAUAGCUGGUCUGAGAGGAUGAUCAGCCACACUGGGACUGAGACACGG
rnacentral:rRNA from 1 species